CCUCAAUCCAGGAAUCCACUGGCCUUAGCUGCCCUUCUCGCUUGGUUGACCAUGCUGAGAUUUCAUCGGCGCUGUGUUUACUGCGAUGGAAUCUCACCGCUGGGUCAUGAGUGCAUGAAAUGAAAGACGGCUCACUUGCCUACCCUUGCCUUGAAACAAUUUCUCUCUGCUCCGUCCAAAUCUGAGGCCGAAGGACGCUCUCUGCAAGUGCCCCAGAGUAGGCCGCACCGUUUUUGCUUCUGAGUCCUGCCGCCUUCAAAGAGCUGACAACACUAACGUUUGUUGGAGCGAUUGAGCCAUCAAGGUCGAAGAUAAACGGCCACGUUUGCCGGAGUUGGUGUGUUGCUUACUCUGCCCAUGCUUGCAAGCUCACAUAAACUCCCAACCGGACAAGCGCAAGUUUGCAGAAGCAAUCCGGAGUGAAGAACUCGCUCCCCAACUCUGGGCUUUCCAGCAGGUCCACGAUGACGCCAGGAAACUCAACCUCCCGGUUCCGUCGUGGGAGAAGCCCACUCCAUGAGAGCCCAAAACUCUCGUGGCCUGCAGGACCUUGAAUAAAGUUGAUUUCCUUCCUUCCUUCCAUCGUCGACUCGAAAAAGUGGAUGUCGCUCAACAAACAGCUGUCAGAUCGUACGGGCCUUAACAUCGCCAAGAAGGAUGGGCCCCUGACACCUUAUUUCUAGGACUGCCUGUCUAAGAAUGUUGCGGCUUCGUGUGGCGCUUGCCAAGUCAUACUCGUUCGUACAUGGAUGCGUCGACAAUCCUACCAGUGACAUUUGCGGCUGUGAAGAAACAAUCCCGCAUCUUCUGUGCAUCUGCCUACGUUACAAUGCGGAGAAGCAGGUGCUGGGUACUACGUUAAAGACACUGGACAGCUAGCCACUGUCACAGCAAAAAAUACGUGGAGAGUUGUCAAAAUGAACGUUUGCGCUAAAGGCAGCCAGAACUUCCUGCUGUCUGCGAGAAAGGCUAUGAUUCGUGAUUAGUGUCAAUUCAAUUUUGUGCUCUGAUUCCUUUUUCCAUAAUCGCAUUUCUUCCUUUGUAUCUUUUUAAACCACUUCUCCCUAUCCUCCGUGCCGGGUGAAAAAAUGACACUUUACCUGGUUAACAUUCCAGCACUUGCUUUUUUUUAUUUCUCUUUCUAAGUGUGCUGAAUUGAUAUUUCUCACUGUCGUGAGCUAUCAAAGUUGACACAACAAAAUGGCGUGGGUUAAUCAUGUCUACAUCGAGUUGAGCUACAGCAACAUGCGCACCUCAAAUUUCAAAACAACCAGGUGACUCAGGUUGUUAUUUUAAGCGAAUUUCAAAGUUGUUCGUCACUCAUGACUGA